GUCCACUGGGAUAGCCAAACUGGUAGAGCAUGAGACUCUUAAUCUCAGGGCCAAAGGUUUGAGCCCCAUGUUGGGCA